rnacentral:rRNA from 1 species
UACGUAGGUGGCAAGCGUUGUCCGGAUUUAUUGGGCGUAAAGCGAGCGCAGGCGGAUUGAUAAGUCUGAUGUGAAAGCCUUCGGCUCAACCGAAGAACUGCAUCAGAAACUGUCAAUCUUGAGUGCAGAAGAGGAGAGUGGAACUCCAUGUGUAGCGGUGGAAUGCGUAGAUAUAUGGAAGAACACCAGUGGCGAAGGCGGCUCUCUGGUCUGUAACUGACGCUGAGGCU